rnacentral:piRNA from 1 species
UGGGAGUUGAUCUGGAGGGCUGGAAUUCAA